rnacentral:rRNA from 1 species
CGGCCCAGACUCCUACGGGAGGUAGCAGUAGGGAAUCUUCCCCAAUGACGAAAGUCUGAUGGAGCAACGCCGCGUGAGUGAAGAAGGUUUUCGGAUCGUAAAACUCUGUUGUUGGAGAAGAAUGUAUCUGAUAGUAACUGAUCAGGUAGUGACGGUAUCCAACCAGAAAGCCACGGCUAACUACGUGCCAGCAGCCGCGGUAAUACGUAGGUGGCAAGCGUUGUCCGGAUUUAUUGGGCGUAAAGCGAGCGCAGGCGGUUUCUUAAGUCUGAUGUGAAAGCCUUCGGCUCAACCGAAGAAGUGCAUCGGAAACUGGGAAACUUGAGUGCAGAAGAGGACAGUGGAACUCCAUGUGUAGCGGUGAAAUGCGUAGAUAUAUGGAAGAACACCAGUGGCGAAGGCGGCUGUCUGGUCUGUAACUGACGCUGAGGCUCGAAAGCAUGGGUAGCAAACAGGAUUAGAUACCCUGGUAGUCCAUGCCGUAAACGAUGAGUGCUAGGUGUUGGAGGGUUUCCGCCCUUCAGUGCCGCAGCUAACGCAUUAAGCACUCCGCCUGGGGAGUACGACCGCAAGGUUGAAACUCAAAGGAAUUGACGGGGGCCCGCACAAGCGGUGGAGCAUGUGGUUUAAUUCGAAGCAACGCGAAGAACCUUACCAGGUCUUGACAUCCUUUGACCACUCUAGAGAUAGAGCUUUCCCUUCGGGGACAAAGUGACAGGUGGUGCAUGGUUGUCGUCAGCUCGUGUCGUGAGAUGUUGGGUUAAGUCCCGCAACGAGCGCAACCCUUAUUACUAGUUGCCAGCAUUUAGUUGGGCACUCUAGUGAGACUGCCGGUGACAAACCGGAGGAAGGUGGGGACGACGUCAAAUCAUCAUGCCCCUUAUGACCUGGGCUACACACGUGCUACAAUGGAUGGUACAACGAGUUGCGAGACCGCGAGGUUUAGCUAAUCUCUUAAAACCAUUCUCAGUUCGGAUUGUAGGCUGCAACUCGCCUACAUGAAGCCGGAAUCGCUAGUAAUCGCGGAUCAGCAUGCCGCGGUGAAUACGUUCCCGGGCCUUGUACACACCGCCCGUCACACCAUGAGAGUUUGUAACACCCAAAGCCGGUGAGGUAACCCUUCGGGGAGCCAGCCGUCUUAAGG